rnacentral:lncRNA from 1 species
GCCGAUUACAUGCUUCUCUAUGUAAUUUUUUUGCUUAAUCCUAUGUUGUUGCAUAUCCAAUUCCUUAUCCCCUAAAAUUCUUCUCUAAUGCUGGUUUUCGGCCCCUCUAAUUCCCGCUGAGCAUAAUCAUUUAGAUUCCUUCAGCAAGCCAUGUAUAUGGUAUGCCAUUGAUCCCCAUAUUUGGAAUUUUACCUAUCAUAUUGUUUUUUAAUGUGAUGCUGCGUUGGCUGUUCGUAUCAUGUUGGAACAGUCGAGAGUGUUUUUGAAUCAUGAUGUGUCCUUAGAGGUAACUAGAAACUGCUUCUUUAGUAGGUAUAGAUACACACAUUUCUCUGUACCGGCCUCUUUCACAUUCUUCUUUGGAUUGAUGUACAGGAAAUUAAUAGAUUCUUCGUUGACUACUUGGUCGGCGAUAUGCCGGGGGUUCAUCUCUACGGCGCAUCUGGUCCACGCAGACCAUGAACUGGAUAAAGCUCUAAGUUCAAAAUGUCUCGAGUUAGCAGCCCUUCAGUCUAUGGCUAUUGACUUCGCCAAAUCAGGAGCUCCGGCCGAGAUGCCUAGGUCUUCGAGGCCGAGAGAAUUCCAGGAUUUCAUGGAAAGGUGGGAAAAGCCCAUGUACAUCUCUCAAGGUGCACUAGACAAGCUUUACACACAAGAACACAAACUUUGGCUGCUCGAGUAUUAUCUCGCAAGACGUAUUUGAUCAGGAUGUCAUCGUAGAUGGUUAUGAAGCCUUCGUGGAAACGUACUUGGGACAAAAUGACCACGUUGCUGAAUUUUUACAAAGCGAAAAGUCGAGAUAUUGACAGGCAGUUUGCAUAACAAGUCGGUGUACUUGCAGCGUGAUAAUAGGAUAUUCGGGGAGGUUAAGGAUCGUAUUUUGGUGUCGGCCAAGAACCUAGAGAAAGAAGCCAAGAAGUGGUUCGAGAGUAGCUGCAAUGUGAUAAACAGAAAUUGGGCAUCAGCAUGGUAUUAUUAUGCGACUUAUCAACCAACUUAUUCUCAUGGAAGUGCAAAUUUCUUGGGCUUUCCUUGGAUUUUAGGUAAUAUUUUGCUUGAAAUUAAGUCAGUCAAAACAAGAAACUUAGAGUCUGUUUGGGAAUGAUUUUUAGAAUUGAUUUUUUGACCUUUAGGAGAAAAGUGGUGUUCACCUGUGAGAGAGAGAAGAAAUCAAAUAUGG